AGCAGAAACUCACGAAGAUCUCUAAAGUAUGAAGCUACAAUUGUAGCAAAAAAAUGUUCUCUAUACUAAAUAUUUUGUUAUGUUUUACAAUUACCUCAAUUCUUGUUUUUUUUUUGUUAUAUUGUUUUCAUUGAAGUUGUUUCUGAUUAUUCACAAUUUGAUUUGCAGCUCAUUCAUAGAAAGCUGAAAUAUUUUUAGCGUCUGUGCACUACUAAUUUUAACUUAUUCAAAUGAAGAAUAUUGUAGUGGUAGGUGUAUGUGUGUGCUCUUAGUGUGCAAUUGAAUCAAAAUAAUUCUUGGGAUAUCUUCGACUCAUGUUUGAUUGGCAUUAAGCGUAACUACAUUUCCUUAACUUUUCAAAAGUAAGCUGUUCAUGGUGCAAUAACUGUUGAUAUCUUCGAUUCACAAAUUCAAACGAUCCAGUAUGGGAAAUGAAUUCAUGAUUGAAAAAUGCUCCAGACAAUAAAAUAUAUGUGUUUGUGAUUAUCCAAUGCUCAUGCAAAAAUAUGAACUAUUGUCUAUAUCUAUUAUUUUUUCAUCAGUACUUACAAUUGUGGGGUUUAUCAUUUUUAAGUUUUAAUGUUUUGAUUGAUUCGAAUCAUUUUUUGUUUGGGCAGGCUUUGUCAUAAGUGAGUGUUCUGUUGUGAUAAUAUUAAUAUGCUUUUUUUUUCAGUAGAUAGGUUGAAUCCUUCAUGUGCAUAUCAAGAUGGGAUUAACAUAUAUUUUAAAAGUGACUGUUACCAAACUGUAUAAAAAAUGUUGAAAAAUCAAUUUUUUUUUAAACUUUCUAGAUUGAUCUUUCAUCCAACCAACCGAAAAAUCUCCAGUCUUCCACUUUGAGCAGGCUGGAUCAAUGGACAACCCCAUCGUGGAGUUUGAGAGUCAUAUUCCACUUUCGAACAAGUCUGAUAUCCAAAUUUGGGGAAUUCUGCUAUGCAACACAUACUUUCGACCGUAAAUAAUGAAAUUGUUUUUUUUUUCAGUUUUUCCAAGUGUUCAUUCUGGUCGAAUUUCAAACGAAAAUAGGAGCAUUCCCGUCAAAGGAAAUCGUAAAAGGGCAAGAUCAAUGGAUGGGCUUACCUCUCCCUCAGCUCUUUUCUUUUCGAGCUCCUUCUGUUUAGCAUGUUCUUCUGCGAUUCGAGCUUGUAUAACUGCCAACGACUCUCUUGUGAAUGGACGGAAUAAGCUUCGCUCCUCUUCGGAAAAUGAGUCGGAGACGACGGACAUUUCUUUUCACUCCUAGGCCCCCACGAUACCCUGAAAAUGAUCCAAUUGAAUUUUAUCCAGCUCUGAGACAAAGUUCUUCCUUUUCAUAACUUAAUGGUACAGGGAAAAUAACAUGUAUACUAAUAUACCUAUAGGGAUAUACACACUGAACCCUUUUUAAGUACUCACACAAGCAAUUUUCCCUUAAAUUUGAAAUUUUUAUCACGUGCCUAUUCGAACUGAAGGGUUAAGGGAUUCGAAAUAAUUAUUCAGAUUGUGAACUUUUAGCUUGAGCCUCUAUAAUCUAUAUUAUUAUGAUGAAAUUCGUUUCGAUUUUUACUGAACAGUUUGAAUAUUGGAAAUGUAUUUCAGCUUCACUUUUUCUUCGAGCUUUGGGCUAUAUACAAAGUAAUACCUGCAUUUGCAGCAAGUCUGAUUAUUUUAACUGAAUUCAUAAAGACAUUUUUGUUUAAGAUAUUUGUGUUGAAUAUUUCCACUCAUGUAUUUCUCUAUGUUGUAUUUUAUGAGUUAAUUCAUUUUUGCAGUAUCAAAAUGGGCGAAUUCUCUUGGGUCUGUCUCCACUAGCAAUCCCCGGGAUGAUUCAUUCUAAAUUGGCUAGAUAUCCAAUUUUUUCCAAGGAUCACCAGUAGGCUUAUUGGACGUAUUCGACAUGAAAAUAAAUCAAUCCCGAUUCGAGGACUGGAAAGGAACUCUUCAGUGUUCGAGGGUAGCGGGAAUCAAAUCCUAUACAAUGUUCAUUCAUCUGACCUAAUUUGAAGGUUUCAGGUUCGCUCCCGGGAGAAAUCUCCCCCUUUUUUUAAUUUCAGCAUUUCUGAAUGGAGAUCUCGACGAUGUAAUCUGAUACAAUAGUGGAAAUUUCUCGGUGCGGGGUGUUGCGGCAGCGUGGUUUCAUCCCCGUGAAGUUGAUGGUGUGAACACUGCUGAUGGAGCUUCAUAAUUAUCGUAUUUCAUGCAUCUGAGUUUGAUGGCAGUUCAGGUGGAAUACGUUGAGAUAAAUUUCCACUGAAGAAAAACGGUAUCAUCGUCUGAGAAUAUCAGAAACGAACUCACUAACCAUUGUAGUCCUUUGAAAGUCUACAAAAUUCAUUUUGAAGGAAAUUAUAGAGAAGGAAAUAAUGUGAGAA